CUUCGGUAACCAACCUGAUCCGAAAUACAGUUAAUUGAUGAUUUGAUGUUACAUUCGAAUUAUCAUACAGUGUUGUUCAACAUGCACGAAAGAAGAGCCAUCUCGAUAACAACGUGAAUGUAGGAGAAGUGAAAGUGUACCGCUGGUUUGUGGUUCUACAGCUUUCUCCACGACAUCGCUGGCCACAUACUUAAUUCUGGCAGUCGAUUUCAUUCAACGUUUCACAAUACAUUGAAUAAUGUAUCUUUCUUUAUGAUAAAUCAAUUUGACAAUAAUUUGACUUUAUAAUCAAAUGAUAUUCGAACAUUCACAUAUUUCUCCAGAUUCAGAGGAUCGAUUCCCGAUUUUUUCUUAUUAACGAGGUACUGUUUAGCAUCUAAAUGAUAAGAACAAAUACACGUUUUCAAUCGUUUAUUCACGAAAGGUGAAAAGUCUAAGUACAUCGUUUAAAAAAAGGAGCACAUUAUCACAUGUCAUAAAUAUUCGGUACAAAACUUAGGACUAAAGAAUUCUUUACAAGGAUGUUUCGGAUCGAAGAGUCCGGUCUAAGGUCGUCCUAUCUGAUCGAUCUGAGCUUGAAGAUUGUUCACCACUUCCGGUGGCACAUGGUCACCCAGGAUUUCGAAAAGAUUGAUCUUCUGAUCGCCGGGGAUCGAUUCGUACGCCGCCAACUCGAUGCCUUCUUGUACUUUCUGUAUCGUCGCGUCCUUUGGAAUAAGAUAAGUAUUUUGCGCCUGUUUUAUAGCCUCAUUGCUGAAAAUUUGACCGUCCUUUUGCGGGUACGCCAAGCAUGCACCAACCAGAAGCAGUACCGCCAGCACCGUUAAGCGAACAGCCAUCUGUAAAACAGAAGCGAACAGUUUCAUAAUACGUUGAUUUUGAAAUCGCUGUAGGUAAGAGCAUUGAUUUUCGUCAACGACUAGGUUUCCUCGUGUAGGUUGAGAGCGUUCCCGCGUUUUUUCUACGCCGAGAAACAGGUUCGAAUCUAGAGCGACAUUUAUCCUGUAUUUUGUCGUGAUGUGAGAGGGAUGCUCGAUCCGGUUUUUACAAGAGUAUAUCUGACGCAAUUAGGUGCACACAUAAGUGUAGCACUGUUGAUUGGUGAAAGAUUGGAGUCCGAUGCAAGACACCAUUUUUGGCGAAGCAGCGUUCUAAUGCAACAACCAUGCUUACCGUGUUCGAAUAUCGUUUCAACAACGAAAGUAAAAUAAUAAAAAAAAGGAGAAAUAUUAUGCGAAACUCUGGAGCAUAGUAUAAAUUUCUAUCGUGAAUUUUUAUCGCAAAUUGCAAAUUUAUUUUGAUUUUUCGGUGAACUCGGGGGCGGGAAAAGCUGCGCACGAUUGUAUGCAACCCUUGCAACAUGCGUGUAUUAAGAAUAAGAAUAAAACUAAUUAUGCUUAAAUAAUAGGUAUUCGUCGAUAAAAAUAUUCUUAAACGUCGGAUAAACUAAACUUUCAUUCAACAUUAUUAAACUCUAUCUUAUAUUGACUGUUAGACUUUAAUUACACGAGCUAUAAAUCCGUUAAUUACUGCAGUAUACCGAUAAUGGAGUAUGUUAAUUUCGUUCUUAAGACACACUCUCACUUUCACCGCAGCCUCUCGAGAGUAAUAAACCGUUGUAAGAUCAAGAGAUCGGUCAUAGAUCGUUGCUUCUCACUGGUUCUGUUCUCAACAGAAACGAUUAAACGAUACAAAAAGAAAUGAGGCUUCGAAGUUACACAAGAACCGAUGAUGUAUGAUAAAAGAAAAUAGGACAAUGAGAUAUGUAGAUUGUAAUCUUUGUGAAUUUGCAAGAAAUUGUAAGGCAAUUAGCCCAAUCAAUUCGAAAACUCUUAGUAAAGUUGAACAUAAAUUUGAUACAUAAAUUUUAUGGUAAAUCACAGGCACUUAAGAAAUUACAUUGAUGUCGGUGCACGACACUUGGCGCAGUUUUGGGAGUAAUUCUUGGAAACCAAUUAAAUGAUCGCGAAAAGCAAGACCCUACUACGGUGGGGAAUGGUACUCACGUCGAGAGCGUAGUUUCAGAAUCAGUCGCUAUGGAGCAAAACUAAAGCGCGCCGCCGGCAGAAGCGGCUUUUAUACUCGAGAUGUUCACCACUCCUGCCCAGCCAGCGAGGAUCCACCUUCCAACUAGUUAAAAGUUCCAGGAAGAAUCGCUCGUUGACCACUUACACUUUCAAUCGCCAUGUGAACUAUCAGUCUUUCCAAUCAGAUAUAAUUAUUAUAGUAUUAAUGUUAGCGACGAGUAACAAGUAGCCAAUUCGUUUAUGAUUUACACUUCAGAAAAUAAUAAAUAUUCCAAAAUUGAAUUAUCCAACCAAGAAACAAAGUAAAUUAAUAAAAAUUUAAGUACAGAGUAAUUUAAUUUGAUAAAAAAGAUACGGUUUUUCGUGUCGCGGUAAAUUAAUUCAACGAAUGCAACAGAAACAUUGAUCUUGAACUUGGAAACUAAAUAAAAGUUGAAUAUGAGAUGCCGUAUUCUUAUUCUAAAUAUUUUAAAAAAUGCCUGAUGUCAUGAUGUCAAUGCUCCGACAACAACGAAAGUUUUGAAUGAUGGUAGUAUUUGGAGCAUUUCUCUUUACGCUUUUACAAAUACCAUCGUACGACCCGUCAUGAAUAUUAGUGACCCAUUGACCAAUAUAGAGCUGUGGACUUCGGAUUUAUUGGUGCGGCGUGACCGAGGUUUCACUUUUACUAUUGUCUCUUUCAAAUGCGACGUAAGAAUUAGUGUUGCACUAUGAUCUUAACACGUUAAUAAUAUUCUAUGAUAGAAUCUGUAGAGUGAUUUAUUCAUUAAUAAAGGAUACAUUGAGUUACAUGCUCUCACAUGCAAUUUUGCUUAUGAAUUGGAAAUAUAAGUUUCAUAGUAGUCUGUAAAUGAUCUAAUUCAAUAUUCUAUUGAUCGCAUAUUUAUGUUGAACAAAUAAUAAAUGUUAAGGUAGUUUCAUUUUACACCGAGUAAGCUGGAAAUUUAGCCGAAGAUGGAUUUUGCAUAUCAAGUAAGAAGUAAAUCGUACCGGCAAGACCUGAAAUAGUAUAUGCACCAUUAAGUGAAAAUAAUUCGACUAAACUGAAAAUUACAACACAGUACCUUCAAAUAAUGAAAAUGGUCUAUCAGGAGAUCUCGUUUGAUGUGUUCCAUAAUCGAUGCACCAUUCUGCAAACUUGCAAGCUCUGUACAAAUGUUUUAUAUCCUGAAGCAGAAGCAGAAGUUCAUUAAUAUUUAGACAGUUCAAGUAUAAAUUUAAUAAAAAUAUAAUUUGCUGU